UACGGAAGGGGCAAGCGUUGUUCGGAAUCAUUGGGCGUAAAGGGCGCGUAGGUGGUUCUGUAUGUCUACCGUGAAAGCGUACGGCUCAACCGUAUUUUGUCGGUGGAAACUGCAGGACUUGAGGCUGGGAGGGGCUGGUGGAAUUCCCUGUGUAGCGGUGAAAUGCGUAGAGAUGGGGAGGAACACCGAUGGCGAAGGCAAUCCCCUGGGCCUGCACUGACGCUCAUGCACGAAAGCGUGGGGAGCAAACAGG
rnacentral:rRNA from 1 species